GAUAUUCUGUAAUAAUCGAUCAUCCUUUUAUUUCGUAUGUGUUAUUUAUAUUUUAAGAAUUGAAAUAUGCUUUUGAUAAAUUUGAAAAAGUAUCAAUAAAUUUUUGUUAUUUUGGUCUUUAAAUAUGGAUAUUUUCUCAACAUAUAGAGAAUAUAUAUUAUAUAUUUAAUAUACGUACAUAUAUUUUAUGUUGAACAUUUAAGUAUUCAUAUUCAAAGACUAAAACAGUAAGAAUGUGUCUCCAGAGUUAGUUACAUGUCCAGGCAAUGAUACUUUUAUUUUACUAACAGUCUAUUCCUCUACACUACUAGAAAGAUAGUCAAAUUGAAAAAAAUUUAUAUGAAAAGAAAAAACUACAAUAUCCUCGCCGUGUACUUCAUAGUUAGUUAUUUAUUCCAUAUCCUCAAUGUACAGCUGAAUAAAUUAUAUAAUUAAUAAAUUGCUCGAUAAAAUUAGGAAUAAAAGUGAAAUGCAGGUAGAGAAUAUUGAGAUAAUGAAAUGUUAAAUAAUUCUCGAACGCGGCAGCAAGCGGUCGUUCGUGUCCUCAAGGUAAAACAACAGCCAGCGUAACAUUAUAUCUCGAGAUUCUUCAUUGAUCCUUCAGUGGAAUUUGCAGGAUCAAUGUAGAAUAAAAAUUUCGGCUCGGUCUUCUCGGUUUGCGCGAUUACUAAAUCCGCGUCGUGCACACGCGACCCUCCUAAAUAUCCCGAGCGGUGGGCACAAGUCCGGCACACUCGGUGGCAAGGACACGGGCUCGAGUUAUUCGGCCGUAACCACCCGUGUGUAACCCUGAACCCCGCGUUCGCGCGGGUCCCGGAGACGCCGCUCCCUCGCCCGCGGUCGUUUUCUCCGUCUCCAGCGGCGUCUGCGAGACCGCAAAAAUGUCUAAUUGCAACGUGCGGGUGCGUGCGACUGUCUACGGCACAGCCGGUAUGCGAUGAAAUCGCGUCUCUCCCUCCUCCCUUCCUUCCUCUCUGCGCAGUUUAUUUUUCCUACGGCCCACCCGGGUUCUCCCUGCUCGCCCUCCGCCGGGAGAGGAGGCCGAGAGAGAGAUGGCCGUAACAAUUUAUAUGCGUGGCGCGUUUGUAUAUGCGGAUGUGCGGGCAAACCUGUCCGCUUAACGAUAAGCCACGCGUAUAUGUACGUCCCCUCCUCUCGCACUGCAUGCUCGCACGCCCCUUUAUAAGAUUCUUUUAUCCCCGACCCGAUAUUCAGUAAUGAUUCGCCGUAUGCAAGGUCGUCGCGCGUGCGAACAGGUUCUUCGCGCACCUCUCGCGAGUCCGAAGGGUAAAAUAUUGCCAGGGGGAUGCACGCCGGCGAUCACGGCCGUGGCAGCGGUCGCCGCAGCUGCCGCGGACGGCAGACAAAAGGAUUGUCUUCGUGCGUUUGCCCGUAAAUCCAAUUACGCGCGAAACACUGCGCGUAUUGAAAACGGCGUGUGCCAGCGACGGGGAGAUCGAAGGUGGUCCCCUCAUGUGCUCCAGUGCGCGAACAGUAGCGUGACUCACUUUCGUUGAGCGCACAUCCGUUAAGUCGAUGAAAUAAUCGCGCGGGAGGCGCUUUGAUAGAGUCCACGUAGCACGGUACAACGCAAGUCGCAUAAUAUCGAUUAAUCUUGCACGCAGCGCAUUUCCCGGCGACGAUUUGAGUUUUUGCUCCAGCGGAAUCCUCUCCAGAUUGCAUAUCCAUUAAUUUUAUACGACCACGUCUCGAACCGCGGUGGCGGUCGGCGCUUUCGCGACUCCCGUCUCCGAGUCUCGCCGCGGGCGAUUUGUCGUCGCGAUACAUAUACAUUAUGCAUAUGUGGUUAGUCACCGGCAAUGUUCCCCGAACCCGGAACUUGUUGUUAUAAUUAUGCAUCAGCCUAUUAUAUCCAGGCGAAGGCAGGCACGAGUGUUUCGCGUCUGGUCUUAUCGAUAAUAUAAAGUCCAAGAGGGCCGAUAAGAGAUCCGCGACUGUAUGACGAUUCGUCGCCACCUACGUGGCUACGUGGAUAAAUUACCUUCGUACAGGCGUCAUCACGCGAUUAACCGUGGAUAUGGUGACUAACGAUAACGUCUCCCGGAAUUAAGAGUGGCCGCACGGCGGCAGUCACACCUCCGUCCUUAAGCGUAUUCUCCCGUAAAGGGAAAGGUUGCCCGCGUUAUCUGCGCGCGUUAAACCCGCGCGAAUUUAUCAAAUUCCGCCGUAAUCGUCGAGCCACACGUCUCGGAGGUUCAAGAACGGAACCUCGCCUCGAAAGUGACGCGCAUAUUUCACUUCACAUUUCCAUCGUCGCAAACGACUUUGUCGCGAAACAUACGUGGCGCGAAACGCUGAAAAUCAUUGAGGUAUCAAACGCGAACCGGUCGUUGAUGCUUUGAGCGAUAGCUAUAGAGGACUUUUACUACGUAAAAGUAGCGCGCGAUACUAUGAAAAAUCAAGCAAUGCUUCACGACCGUGGCAGCCUUACGGCGGACGUGAAACGUUCGAACGUGCACGAGAUUUUAUUGCAAGGGAAAUUUACACCGAUCGUGUAACCACAAACUUGCGGCGUAUAAGGAAGUGUAAUAACAAACAAGGUUACGGUGCGUUAUAUCUUCUUAAGGUAGACAUAUGAAGUAACUCGCCGGCGAAAAAGAAUUUAUUGUGAGCGAUGGCUGCGGAAGCGUCAAGCUUUAUUGGGUAAAAUCACCCUUCAUCGAGGAAAAAGUGUAAAAGUCUCUGAGCACCUCUCGACGCGGUCUCAAGAGUGCGAAGAUAUUCGCGCACUGAAGCACUCGCGAAGUCACUAUCGAUAAUUGCCAAUGGCUUUCUCUGUCUCUCUCUUUCUCUCUCACACAUACUGAGAGAGAAAUCCGAGUUUUAACAAACUGAUGUUUUAUAUGCCAUGAAAUUUGAUCGAUACAUUACGAUACGCACAGAAAAAUAUCAUUGUACUGUAAAGUGAUUAUUCUUGAUUUCUUUUAAGUAAUGGUUAUUUUUUCAGCAAAGAAUAAUUUCUUCGUCACAAAUUUUAGAAAAGCUCAUUAUCAUGUAUUCAAGAAAAGAAUUUAUUCUUUUUACAAGAAUAUCGUAAAACUUUAUCAAAGAAGAAGUUGGCUCGACUCCAUGUAGUUGGCAAACCGAAUUUUUGUUUCAAUCUAAAUAUUCUUGAUUGAAAUGCUCUUGUUACUAGAAUUUAGAAUGGAUUCUGAAUAAAUAUCAUAUGCUUAUGAUGUAUUUAUGACAGAUUUGCAGAUAUAAACUUACGAAAUAUUUGGCAGCAAGUGCCAUUUGCUUGAACGCACUAGGUAUUUUUCUGUGUACUUGGCUCACUGACUUCACCGGAUUAUUUUCGUAGGAUAUCAUUCGAUUUCAUCGGGUCAUCAUCUUCCAUCAGAUAAUAUCUGGCUGGAUAUUUAGUCGAGUCAACCACUUCAGUUGAAACUACUCUUUCUUCAUUUGAUCGAGUGCAGCGUUCGACUAAAUUGCGUUUCACCGCAUAAGAACGCCUAACGUUUGUUCUGACACCGAAAUCGAUGGGAUACAUUGCUUGAACAGCAUAUGUCUGUUACUUAAAAUCCGGAUUGUGUUCUGUCAGUGUAAUUAGCUUCAUUCCCGAGCGUUGUUUUCUUAUCGCUUCGCUGAUGCAUUCCGAAUAAUACGCUCGUGCCAUUUCCCGAUCAAUGCACCGCGUGACUCUUAUUCAGCGGUGUAUUUUUUGAUCUCUUUGACAUUGCACGUAAUAUCGAAUUCGUAACACACACACAUACACACACACACACACACACACACACGCACGCACGCACGCACGCACAUAUACUCUCUCUCUCUUUCUCUCGCGUUUAUUUCGUGCAUAUUUCGUGACCGUGAAAACACCCACGUACGCAGCCGCGCACGGUCGACACGAGUAAGCGUACGAAUAUAUAAUAAGGUGUCACGUCGACUGUUACAUCGAUUUUUCAUUUGUAUCUACGCUUUCCAAAGUGGUUUCCCUACUUGGACGGUAGUUCUGUCAAGUGCAUUCGCGCCAGACAAAUUCCUAUCGAUCGUGUGCUAACUUCACGCUUGCGUUCUUCUAACCAUUUUCGUACUUGACACUGUUUCGUUUGACACACAACUUGGUUACUUGAACAAAUACGAGAAAUAGCGCCGACUGCUUUCUCCGCGCGGCUAACCAAGCAACCCCUCCUACUCGUCCUCCUCCUCCGUACGCGAACUCAUUGUUUGCAAUUCGGUACUGCAAUGUCUGGCACGUGAUUUCAUUCACGGGCAGAAUAACAUUUACAUAAUGUCGUUUCAUUGUGGCAUCGUAAUAAUCCGCGGCGAAAAGGAGAUCGAUAACGACGAGCUUAUGUAAACAUGCAUCGGUUUAUUAGCUCGUUACGUGGCGUAAAUAUUUCUUGCGCUCGUGUCUAAGAAUCGGUGAAAGCGACUGCGCGGCGCGCUUCGCUUUUCGCCGUCACGUAUUCCUCUUUCUCUCUUUCUCUCUCUCUUUUUCUCUUUCUCUUUUGCGCGCUAUUCACAUCUCGUACCGCGCGCAUACACCCGCCGCGUACUUUUGGAAUGCACGCCAGCAGAUUUUAAUGCAGAGCCGCGCGCGGCGCUACAUCAUCGCGUAUGACGAAGGCUAAACGUGAUUAUACGCAGAUGAUGCAGAAGAGAUACAAAGCCGCGGGAUGAUGCGCACACGACGGUCGGUGUCGUUUUGCUCGCGUCGCUUUCCCGCGAAUCCGCCUUUGCUUUGCCUUUGCUGCACUCCAUAGGAGGGUCCAUCAAGGGCACAACCGAGCAUUAAGAUCAACGGACGUUGCACCUUGCCGCGACUGAUCGGCCGCGUAUGCCGUGCCGCUCGUCCCGAAGCGGAGAGAUCGGAUGAAAUUGUCGUGGAAAAUUGCAGACAGGAUCGACGCGAUCGCUCGGGCAACCUUUGUUGCAAUUUCAUUUAGUCGCGCGAUAGAAUGGAGCCGCGAAACAGCGGACGAUUUAGCAACCGCGGCCUCAAUGGUGCUCCUUCGCUAGCACACAGAUGUGUUGCUCGCAGGUAACGAUGCCGCAAGGAAAGUUAAUCCAGCGGGGAUUAGUUGCUACUUCAUUUAUGAGCUAGAUUUCGCGCGGGUGUUCCGCUUCAAUAUCCCAUUUCAUAGCAUUGCGAUGUCUCUCUCUUUCUCUUUCUCUCCGUGAUAUAUUCAAAUAAUUUAGCUCUGAAUGAAGAAGAGAUAAGGCAAGAGAGAACUGAGCGCGGGUAUUGGUGCGAAUAUUUAAACUGUGGGAGGAUAAUAAUGUUAGACAAUUUUAACGCAUUUGUUGAAUAUUUUCCGGACUUUUUCAACGCACGAACCUUUCACGUCAAACCGAUCCUGAAUCCCAAUUAUUAAUAUUAAUUAACUCCCCCAUUACCUAAUCAUAAUUAUAUUUGCAUUGCGAAUGUUUUGAUUUGUUUGUAAUGUUGCAAAAAAAGUCACAACAAAUCAUAAAGCGCGUUUAUCAACAUCGUGAAACAUUCUUAUUCUUCCACAGUUUAAAUAUUUGCACCAAAAUCUGCUUAACCAAGAUCUUAAUUCGCCUUAUCCUUCCCUCGAUUGAGUUGAAUACUUUGAGAGCCAUGUUUAUAUAUAAUUGAGCUCUAGUUCUGUUCGGUUGGCACUUCGACGACUCUCGUUCAGGCGAGACUACCACGGUUCCGUCGUUGUCGUCGAUGUCGUCAAGCAUUGCGCAACGACACUUUCUAAUUAUAACUUAGAUAAUCGAUCAGGAUUUAAUUCCGUCCCUGCCCCUUCCCCCCUCCCUCCCCCCUUGACGCGACCGCAAUGAAAAUGUCAGUUGCUCUCUGACACAAUAACCUCCCGACCGUGAACAUUUCGUGUACGUAUGUACUUUCACGGAAACCAGCGGCCGAUAUAUUAGCGUCGUGGAGAGCUGCGAAACGCCGCGUCAUUGAAAUCACCGGUCCGGGAACUACUCGCGGGAAGGCGUUGCGUCGCGUCGCGGUGACAUUAGACGGCGGCACACCGCACGCACCGGCGAGCGAAAUGUCGCGUGUACGGCUCGAGCAGGUAGAAACGUGUCCGUCCGUACGUACGUCCGGCUGGUGUGUCCAAGGUGCGCGCUCCCGGUUUAAUUUCCGUGGCCGGCGGCCGAGGAGGCGAGGCAAUUUAUCGGCGCUCGGCAAAAAAAAAAAGCGCACCAAGCGGGGGACGUUAUAUCGCGUGUAUACAUCGACUCGGUCGGGUGGACGUGCGCGCGUGGCGUGAUUAAUAGCGAUGACGAAUGAUAAUCGUUACCUUUAUCUGCGCCCGCGAUUAUUUAUAAUAUCGCGAGAGAGACAGAGAGCAUACACUGGCGGCGCGACCGCGCGUAAAAAUCGGCAAAACCACCACCACCACCAUCAUUCUUCAAUAUCAUCAUCGUCAUAUCGCCAUCAUCAAUAUCAUCAUCUUUCCAUCUCCGGAUUGUUUCUCUCGACUUGGCGGGACGAAACUGCACCCACUAAGGAAAAGUAUUGAUGCAUGCUUGGACAUGUACCCAACUUUUUUAUCGUUUUGGUCUUUACAUUUCAACUUUCAACACAGAAUAUAGUAUAUAAAAGAAUACUAUAGUCUUUUUUAUAUAAAUAUUUUUUUCAAUUUGAUUAUAUGUUUUUAAUAGUGCAGCAGUAGAUUACGCCAAUAAAGUCUAUAUCUUGCCAAGGAACACAGUAGAUUUGAUUGGAAACAUUUUUUAAUAGUUAGCAAUUUUCUUAAUAACAUUUCUAUGUGCUGUUGCAAAAUUUCACAUUCUAUGAUAGAUAUGAAUAGCACAUACGAAGUGAAGGGAUAAUCAUCUACUACAGAAUGUUGAUUUAUUCUUCGAUUACAAAAUUCUAGGUAGUUUUUACUAUAAAAUUUUAUUUAAAAUCCAUGUUGAAAGUUGAAAUAUUCGUAUUUGAACACCAAAAUAACUGAAAUCACCGAGAUUAGAUGCGUGUCUGAAAAUUGAUACGUUUGCUUUACCACCUCGCCUCGCUUGACCUAACGAAUCCCCGUACUAUAUCGCUUCGUAAACGAUAUCCGAUGUCCGAAUCAAUAUCCGGGAGGAGGAGGAGGGAGCGGGGGGAAUAAUCCGUCGUGCAUUACGUCGUUCAAGUUGCAUUCGUUUUCCAGCGCGGUUCGACACGGCCCUCAGCUCCCGAAAAGUGCAUUCGAUCUUGAAACACGAGAGCCCGACAGUUGUCGAUUGCGUAACCGGCACAUAAAUAACUAUGUAUAAUAAGGCGCGCGCGAUUUCAUAGGCGUUCCUUUAAGCGGGCCCAAUCACGCCCGCGCGCGCACGUUUUUCUUCCACUUGUUUAUAACAUUUUACAACGAGUCGUUCAUCAUCGACAACGCGCUCAUGCCGUUGCCGAAUUCUCCGUGUCGCGAAUGAACAGAAGAAUAAAAGGAAUCUCGGGACGUGAACACGAAGGAGGGGCAGGAGGGGGCCCCGACUCAAUUAUCGGCGGUGGAUUGAGAGCGUGCCGCUAAUCGAAAGGAUUUUAAAAUAUCAAUUAUCCGGUGAACAAUUGAUCGCUGACGUAAUAUAACGGCGCUGUACCGAUGACGUGAGCGAACGAUAAGAUCUUAAAACAUCCGCGCGCAAAAAAGCAGCAGGUGCGCGAGAGCAUUAACUCCGCGGCGGGAGGGAGGGGAUGAGGGGGGUAUAUUAAUUAUAACCCGCGUUAAAAGCUUCUGCCGUUAUAACGCGCGUCAUGUGUGCGGUAUAAAGUACGAUUGAAAAUAAAUACAUCCUGCUCCUGUUCCACGAAUUUCGCGCGCGUGAUGAGGUCACACUCACACGAAAAGGUCGAUGUUUAAACAUUUAUAAUUAGUUCAAGCCGCGUCGAGUGAAUAUGUCGUGGCGAUGAUUAUUGAUGUGCUCUCACCGUUUCAAUAAAAAUAUUAAUUAUCAUUCUCAUUAUGAGACACAAAGUACGCGCGCGACGACGAAUUUUCUUCUCGCUCUUUUUCUCUUCGAUACUUUUACACACAGAGAAAUACACACUGCAUUCAAAUGGAUAUUAUUUGUUUUAAGUAUUUUGUAAGUUUAUGUAUCAGGAGCUAUCAUAAGCUCGUCACAAUUAUCAAAUUUGUUGCAAAUACAAUCUGAGUCCUAGUAGUAGGUUUAGCAUUUUAAUCAAGAAUAUUAAAUUAAAACAAAAAAUUGGCUUGCUUGCUGCGUAGAGUCCAACUUUUCCUUUGAUAAAGUUUUAGGAUGUUCUCGUAAAAAGUGCAUGAUUAUGAACUUUACUAAAAUCUAUGAUAAGUAUAUUUUAAAACCAUUAUAUCAAGAAAUUAUUCUUCGUUGAAGAUAACCAUUGCUGAAAGGAAAGAGAGUAAACUGAGUAAAUCGCUUUCCUUAACAGUAAAAUGAUACUUUUCUCUGUGUUGACAUCUUUAUUUUAUUUCUCUAUGACGAUUCACGCGAGCCUCAAUCAAAAAGGCGAAAUUAAGAGACGCGGCAAAUGUGCGGAUCUUUUUCUUCAUUCGUCCAAGUCAAUCGGCCAGGAAUAAUAAAAACUGGAACAGAGGCCGACUUCUCUCUCUCUCUCUUUCUCUCUCUCUCUCUCUGUCUCUCUCUCCCUCUCUCUUUUUCCCUCUAUUUCUCUUUCUUUCUUAGAUGUUAUUUAACGCGUUUUUUCCUUUUUCUCUUUUAAACUAAAUCAAGUACGCUCUCGAUUCCGAUCGCGAUCGCGAAGGCCCAUUGACAAUCGGCGAUGGUAAAGUUUCAGGUAAGCUGAGACGCGGUCUCGUUUUAUCGACUCGUUUUGCAUACUGCCCGCAUCGACAUUACUUUUUCCUUCUUUCCGGCGCGAAAGUGUAAUACCCCCUUGUAAAAUGACGCUCAUACACGAGAGGGUAAGCGCCCGAACGCGGUCGUACUCGGUGCAAGUCAUUUGCUCGCUCGCUCGCGCACGUACGUUUGUACGUUCGAUGCAAAUCCGGUAUUAAAGCCGGGAAAGGCGGGCGGGGCGCGCGAUACGAGAAGGCACGCUCGCGGAUCGGACCAGUUCAAACGAGUUUGAGGCCGAAGGCGAACCGCUCGACCCACGAAAAGCACGGACGAAAAGUGAAAGGGAUGUCAGUGGGGGGAGAGUGAGUGAGAAGAGAGAGGAUGCAGGAGAGACGGGCUUUCAGGGCACCCAUAGAAGCUCCCUGACCUAGCGUCACCGAUGAACAAGCGACGAAACUCGAAACGAUUGCCUGACGAUUGCGUACGCGGCGUGUACGAGCGACGAAUUUCCUGGGGAUACAUAAUAAUGGUGGCCGCGCGAAAUCGAUAAAUUGAAGGGUUAUCACCGAUACCUACGUCGCGGCCGCGCGCGGGCCUAUAACGUCGACCUUGAGGAGCGCGAGGAUCGCGAUCCCCCUCAUGGAAUCGGCGGCGACGGGUCGCUUCGUUCCGCUUUCGAGGUAAGAGCGACCUUCGCGAUGGCUACGAUCGUCUCCCGCGCGUGUAUCAUCGUCGGCCGCGACGAUUUCUACGAUGUUGCAACAAAGAGCGGACCGUGACCAUGAAAGGAGGCUCUAGUGUGGCCGGGCCCUUUGCGAAGGCCUUUACGUCGUAGUGUGCCGACGAAACGGCGACCUUCGCCGAUGAACUCGAACCUGGCCGUCGCGCAGCUGGGUUUCGCGCAAUCGUAACAACAAAGUGUCGACCGAGGCCUUGAGGCGGAUUGAGUCGACGAACGACGUGCCUAUAACCGCUUCUUCUUUCUUUUCUCCCUCUUCUUCUGGAGGACUCGGUCGAAAAUCGCAAUUUCAUUUACACCUGACUAAGUCGGGCGCGUCCGCGCUUAUUCUGCCGUGGACCUCGCUGGGAUCCCAGUGAGCCGAUGACGAAACACACAAUCGAGCGAACUUUCCGGACGAACGAUCGGUGAACGCGCGACGGUCACUAAUCCGGCCCGACAGGCCUGACACCUUUGACCUCGCGGUCGAAAGGAAGGCAGCCGCUGUCAUCGUCGGCGUGUGCCGCGCCGUGAAUAUUUUCAUUACGAUCGAGCGAAUGGAACUCGGGCGAUUUUUCUCUCUCAUUCCAACAUCCACUUCUCAAGGAUGCGCGGCGUGUAAGUUGCACGUGGCGUUUACGAAAUUCGGCUUUUAUGUAUAUAUCCGUGCGCGCAGGGACGCGGUGCACAGCGUUGUUUACGGCUAUUUGCAUACUCGCUCUCUCGCGCCUCGAAAUUCGGAUCCUGGGGAUCAGAGAGAGGGGGAGAGCAGCAGCCCGCGCCACAGUCGCGUCGUUGCUUCUCGUCGUUCUUCAUCCGUAACCUCCGCGACGUUUACAUCCGCGUCGCGGCCAAGUGGUGCAACCGCGUUAUUACAUGUAAUAGACGACGUCUCGCGAUCAUCCCGCCCGAGUGUAACGACGAUUACGAGUUCUCCAGCGGCGUUCUGUAACUACGUCCGUCGCCUGGUGAUUUCGGUGCUGGGAGACUGCGGUAGUCGCGAUUAAUUGAGCCUACUUGGGACAAAACCUCAUCCGGGUGACUAUGCGCAUCCACCGCGAGGACGUUGGUCGUUCUGACCCUAAAGACUAUGCCCCAUAUAAUUGCGCAAUUUAUGAAUAUUUGCCAGAACACGAUUAAUCCUGCGCAUAGAACGUUGAAUCUGUGAAAAGCCCAAGGAAUAUUCAGCAACUUUCGUAACUGGUGAAAAUCUGCAAAUUUCAAAAUAACGCAAACCUAUUUGCAGAUUAUUGCAUUACUAUUUUAUAGCUCGAGACUUUUCUAUGUCUCUUGGAAAAAAUGUCUUGUUCAAAGAUAUUGAUUUUCAAUAAAAUUGUAGUAGUUUAAAACUGCCAUGACAGACUCAGACUUUACUCUUUUAAGAUGAAUGAGUAAAAGUAAUAUUUUAUUAACAAUUGACGAUUCACUGAUUUUUCCAGUGAAAAUAUUUUCCCACUUUACUGUUUUAUCGUAUGUCUCAUUGAUUUUUACCACUAGAAACAAGAUCAGUUAGCUCUAACCAAGUGAGUUUAGACAAUUAAGGUCAGUUGUCAAAAUCAAAUAUUUUGACUACUUCAGCUGAAAUGCGGUUGACUGUCCGUGAAUCAACUAAUCAAUUUUUUUCUGUAUAUAUUUGUAACUAAUUAUUCAGUUAUAAAUAUAACAUUACCAUCAAUAAAAUCUCACAGGAUCAGUUAAUAGCAGUGACUAUGUUAUCAUUAUUCAUGCAGGUUGUAGACGCAUACAAUGCUAGCGUUUCAGUGAAGAAUAUACUGAUUAUACUUUAGUAUAUAUGUCCUAAAAUAUGAUUGUACGCGGAAGAUGAAUUCCUCGCGAGAAUGGGUGAGUUUCCACUUUCACCUGUCUCCUUUGACCGAUGCAUCCAUAGGUGAUCGUUAAUAGGCGAGACGUUUGUACAGUUUCGCUGAUACUUUGCGAUACGCGCCCGCUUGUCAUAGAGCAAAGUCAUUAGGAUGAAGACCUUGCAUCUUUGGCACAAUUUGAAAUCAUCAGCAUGCCGCGCUUUAUUGCAGAAUUGCGCCAGCGCGCUUCGCGAUCACACGGUGUGAUUCUUACGCAAAUAAUGCCAUAACGCCAUGACAAAUAUCUGUCGGCCCGCGACAGGUGAUGCCUCGCGAAUGCGCUUCUUGGCCGUGUAUGUAUGCGCGCGCUGGCUAACGAGCCGGACUUAAUGGAUCACCGUUUCUCAGGUGAAACGCGCCGCUUCCAUGCGACUAUCCGAUUAUUUUCAUACUCUCCGGGAUCUGGCGCAACGUUAUUCCUAAUACGGACGUAGGCGCGCGUCUGCCUGUCCUCGUGACGUCGCGUUUUUCCAGCCGGCUAACAGUGGAAAUCUAUUAGUCGCGCGUUGAAUCGCUCGCUGGGAAUUGCGCGUCGCCGACGUAACGCUCUUUGUAACAAAAAUGAUUUAUUAAUAAGGCAUUAAUCAUACGCGGCCGCGACGCCCCGUGUCUCAUUGCGCGUCACGUCUCUUUUCAAAAGGCGUGUCUUUUUCGCGCGUCGACGAGGCCUCUCGCGGAGCCUCGGCAGUUUCGUGAAUUGAACUUGAUCUCUUGUGAAACAACGAGGAGUCCGAUUCGUCGAUUUGUGGCGCAAGCGUAUCGCUCGCCGUAACGCGGAGACAGUAUGGACAUUAAUCGAUUAAAAUUCCUUUCGACUCAAAUAAUCGACAAAUUAAUCAUAUAAUUACGAUUAAUCAAUCAUAUAAAAUCACAAUUAUAAUUAUAAUUUAAUAUAUAAAAUCACAAUUUCAUCGAUUGAUGAAGGUAAUUAUCAGUGAAAUUCUGAUGUUGUGAUCGAUUUGACACCGAUUGAUAGUUAUUUUGAUCAUUGACUUGCUGAUUAUUUUAAUCGAGGGAAAUUCUCAUCGAUUAAUGCGUCCGACAUAUCCAGAUGUGUGACACCGCGGAAGGAAUUGACGAGAGAACUAUGUCCGCGUUAAUGAUAGAAAAGCGAGAGUUCCGGUCUGCAUAAUUAAUGGUUCUCCGAAUACAGAAUGAAGGUAAUCUAACGCGUGCAGUAAUGGGGAGAGUCGAUCGCAGGACCGCAUUCCGACGUCGAUUCGCGGCGGGAACCAUAUGCACGCUCUUUCCAAUAGAAUCGUGAUAGAAUGGUGAUAGAAUCCAAUAUUCCCAACGUCGCUCUCUCGAUAUGCGUAAAUUAGCGCGCUGUUGCGUUGUCCACAAUUUUCACGCGAGAAGACCAUUCCUACUUGAACGAGAGACGAAUUACCAUCAAUUAUCGUAAUUACACACAAUCACGCAUAUAUUACACUUGUAGACACAUUGCGUUUUGCCGUAAUAUUACGCUAACCGCCAAGGUCGCGAUUGCGGUUUCGAUGGAGGAUGAUUAGGCGCGCGUUAGACCGGUGUGCGCGCCGCGACGUACGGUAACACGGAAAUGACUCUCGCUGAGGAAGAGAACCGGCGAUGAAAGAAAAGAAGGAAAAGAAAAAAAACGGAUCCGCAAAGAGCACCUGACGUAAGCCUCUUGACGAGGUCGGCAAAAAGAGAACCGAGGGAAUCGCGGCCGCGUGUUACGGUGAUCAAUGCUCGAGUGGUCGACUUCUCUUCCUCGUCGAUCAUUUUUUCUGCCUCCUACGACUUCAGGCUGUAUAAAUAGCGCGGCUGUACUCGCUCGACUCGGAAGAGCAAAAUAAAGAGAGAGAGCGAGAGAGAGAGGGAGGGAGGGAAAGAGAGAGAGAGAGAGAGAGAUAAAGAGAUCACGCGGAAAUCACGCGACCUCGGAGGUCGGUGUUCAUUAAUACGUUGCCCGACAGAUGGCCUAUACUUUGUGUAGGUCUAAUGAAUGGGCAUGAAGACGUUCCGUUAAUAAGCCGACGGUCGAUUACUCUGAUUACAAAGCGCGAAUCGUGUGAAAAGCCGAAAGUCUCUGAACCCACGCGCGCCCACGAACGAGAGAGAGAUUCCGCGCAUUCUCCGGUCAACCUGCUGCUCCUAAUCGCGGAGAUUGCGGAAUUGUGCGAUGAUUAAAGCGCGAUUAUCGAGAGUCGCCUUGAAUCUUCCGCACAGUCGUAAUCGUUGUGAGCCUACGAGUAUCUCCUUGUAGCGACUCGUGAUAAAAAAAAUUGCUUUACAUAAGUGGAAACGAAUUUUAAUUAGGCCUUAGAGCGUGAUUCUACUCGUCUCAUAAUACACACACGUUCGAAUAAAUCAAGCUGCGCGAUGUAGGAGGCUCGAUCACAUCUCAUGGAAGACGCUUCUUCUUCGUGGGUGGGGAGUGCACUCGGGAGACUCGCCCACAGGCGUACUGCAUCAUCGGAUGCAUACGCGCAGCGCGACAGGUAGACCAGGUCCACCCGGCCAGCGCACCUUUUAAGCUCGUCGUCUCGCGCGUUCCCUCCUCUCCGACAAUUAAUUCGGCUUUGCCGCCGUCCCGGAUCUCGGCGUCUACGGGCAUUCCCCGGGCCGCAAGCGAGCACGCGCGCGCAAACAUCCUCUCGUUCGGCCUGCGGAAUGCGAAUCUUUUCAACAGUGGUGAACGCGCGCAAGGGCAAGGUUUAUUUCGCCGUGCCGGGGAUCCGUCCGUGGAACAAAAGGGGCCACGAUGAGCCGCGGAUAUUCAUGCCCGUUCUCGUCGUGUAACCCGCGGGAUCUCGUUCCGAGACAAAGGCGAGCCGGAGGAGAGCCUCGCCCGGUCCGCCUCGAAAAUCGCUCUCGUUCGACAGGUUCGAGGACGUAUGGAAAACGCUCCCUUCGUCAUCGAUUUAACGAGACAAAUAACACGAGCGCUCGCAUGCACGCACACGGAGAGAGAACCGCAGGAGCUAAGGUAUAGCUGCGCCGGCUACACGGAGAAAAUAUUACAGUUCUGUUUCGCAUAAAUUCUUUUCAGUUUUAUGUUUUUAGUACUUAAGUAAUAUAAUUAUAAUAAAUUUCGCUGGAAUAACGUAUUUCAUCCCUGGAAUAACAUAUUUAAGUUCUUAAAAUAAAAUUAGCUCAUAUAAAACGAAGGGAUGGAAUGAAUUACUACAUAAAUUUCGCUGGAAUAUUUCAUAUUUCAUCCCUAGAAUAACAUAUUUCAUUUCUUAAAAUAAAAUUAACACAUAUGAAAUGAAGAAAUGGAGUGAAUUACUGCAGAAUAUCGAUCUAUUUCUCGGCUGCAAAAUUCUAUAUAGCUAUUUUUAACCAUAAAAUACUUUUUGUGUAAGAUAUGUCAUUGAAGAAAGGACAGCUAAUGUCGUGGUUAUCGACAUUAAAUUUAUUACUCUGUGAAUUUCUUAGUGAAACUUGACUCGAAAAGUAGAGUGACCGUUGAUUCACUCGAAUUCGAACGACUUUUUACUCAUAUAGAGUAAAUUCUUCACAAUGCUCAAGAUUCACACGCAUAAUGAUAUGAAGAAAUAGCUACCACCUUCUUUUAAUGUCAGUCAAUAAAUUUAUAUCUGAUAGCGCGAAUGUGUUUUAUCGCCUCUUAGUAAUGACAGCAAAACGAUUAACCUUUUACGAUUAACGUCAUAGCUAAGUUCAAAUCGGCCUGAUUUGAGGUUUAUCUGAUAAAUUACCAUGUCAUUUUUUGGCGUGCACAUUCGCGUAAGCAUGCACGUACGCUCGUUCUCUCCGUCAGAGCGUAUCGCGUCGCAAAUAACAUGCGCAAUACUCGAGAAUUUCAAUGCAUCGUGCCUUCUCGGAUUUUAUGUGCGCAACAGAAUAUUCUGGAAUCUACUUCAAGUCUAAAAACAGAUUAGACUUGAAUAUCAUCUUAGUUGUUCGCUUAUUUGUCGUUGUCUUGUGCGGUCAAUUGUUUACACAUUGUUAACCACAUUCAAGAAAGUGAUCUUGCAGUCGUAGCGCGAAUAAUGUAGAUACAAAAAAUUAGCUAAGAUAAAUAACUUUGACUAAACACUGCGAUAUCGCAGAUGUUUUAACUUAAUCAAUACAAAUGACAGAGACGGAAUUUUUAUUUACUUGUAAAAUUCGGCACAAAAGUCUCUCUCUUUGGUGCCCAUCUAAAUUAAGGCCAGAUUAAUAAUUGAUAACGGGACCUAACUUUGUUUGCAGAUAUUGCUAGAAUGAUGCUGCUGUAAAUUCUACGUAUCAUAGGCAAUUUUUUAUUUAGAAUAGUGAUAUAUGAAAGUCUACCUGGAGUAGUAAAACAUUUUUUUUAGUAGUUUCUGACUAUUUUUCAUAUAAGUUUAUAUUUAGCGCAUUAUUGGUCGACCGUUUUCAGUAUUAUUCGACUCUUGCUAUUUGUUCUCUAAAUCGCCAAAACGACGGAGAUCACUCGAGAAUUGGUCAACAACAUUUGGCCAUCAAGAACGCGUAUUUUCUCAUGAUCGUUCAACAGUGUGUUAAAGUAGUUGACGGUUAAGGACGCGACUCCAUUGUAAUUCAACCCGACGAAUUCCGGUCUGAUUCUCCCGUUGUUAACGAUUUGUACGGGCGUCAUUAUUCGUUACGACAAUACUGUCCCUCUGACAGUAGCAACCGAAGAUACGAUCCCGCAAUAAUGGCGGGCCUUGGUCGGUUCCUCGAUCUAGAUCGAGGAUCGCGCUCCAGACAGGGUUCCCGGGGCACUUGACGAGGGCAUUAAGCACAAUGGGAGCGCUCUUCCCCCACGGGGAUCGUUAUCUCGCUCGACCGGCUCUGGGCAGCUUCGAUACGGGGGAUCAAAUGCGCGGGACGUUUCUCAUAAUAAGCAGGUCGCAUUCGCGUAACGAUAAUGCCCGUCGUCAUUUGCUUCCAGGAAAAAAGAUGCGAAUCGAGAGAGAAAGAGAGAGAUCCUUUCGAUCCCGGUGCGGCGGCCUUCGGAGCGUCUCCUUUCGGAGACGCGACGUAACGCGAAACCGGAGCUAUUCAAAGCACGAGAGCGCGCUCAAUGAUGCGACCGACUGCUCGAGUCGCGCUAAUUAAGGCGAUUCUAUCAUCUCACGUACGCACGUGGGGGUGUCUCGAUGACGGCGAUGUUGCGUGCCGUUUAAGAGCGCCGGACGCGCUUCUCCCGUGUUUCGCAUCGCCUUGCGAAAAUUAUAAAUUUAAAUGCACCCGGGCGAUCCGUUGAAGAGACGCGUGGGUGUCACGGCGGGUUAAGCGCGCCGUGGAAUUGCUAGUUGUUGUUACCGUCGGGAAACAGCAUCUCGUCUGGUCGAUUGACUCGCGCGCCGGCCGUGUUUGCUGCGCGACCACGGGCCACGAUAAACGUGAUACAGCGAGCUUCGGCGAGAACGAGCACUCCUUGCCCUCUGAGGCGAGAACGUCACCUCGAAACGAGGUUAAUCGCCCGCGAGUGUCAGCAACUCGCGCACGACGUGUCACUCGUUGCUGCACGUCGAGCCGCGAGAGCUGGCCUGUAGCAUAAUAACGUCGGUGUAAUCAGCGUCGUUGUAGUUAGUCGUCCGGUGAACGAUAUUACGGCCGACAGGCGGUAUAAUUAAAACUUUAGAGAGGUCGAGCGCACCUUCGACGAGCGGAACGAGACCCGCGUCUUGUCUUGUUAAGAUAUCGACAGGAAAUUGCGAGGAGACUCCUUGGAGAUCUCCUGAAACCUUAUUGUAGCUCUCUCAGCAGCACGGUAAGAGCUUGAGAGAUUGAGGUCAUCUGAGGACACUCAGGGUUUCGAGAAAGAGAGAGAGAGAGAGAAAGAAUCUCGAAAUCUUUUUUUCAUUAUUUUCCAAAUAUAUUACAGCAGCUUUUUUCUGGAAUUUUAAAUCGAAAAGAAUUUACGGAAAACAAAUUGUUUUCCUUUGUGAGAAAAGUAUUUUUGAGCUCUAUUUUUCUUAUUGGAGUAAACACAAACACGAUGUCCAGCCACACUGGACUUUGAACAGCAAAGGGUUAAAGCCCAAGACGCGUGACCGAUGUCCGUAAACUUGUAACGAGAUAUUAAUCAGGUUAUCGUACCAUGAAAUAUAUUAUUACGUAUUAUUACAUGAUUAUUACACGAAGUUUUCAUUGUGGUAGAAAAUGAACUUUAGUCAAUUACCAGGCGGAGCGCCAGCCAUGUUGUAGGCGUUGUUCCGUCAAAUGCCAGUGCGAAAUUCGUUUUAUCACGGCAUCUGGAAUUUUCUCACCGGAGUAAUAUCGAUAUGCAGUAAUAAUAAUAAUAAUACUUGAAGCUAGCGAGCAGCACGAGGUAAACACACUCUCAUAGGCCGGCUCCCUCGUGUGUAUUCAAAUACAAUCAUCGAUUCGCGCGUUGCCGUUGAAUGAACCUUCUCGGUAAACUCCGUGCCCGCUCUGGAGAGACCGCUGACGCGAUUUUACCUGUCAUCGUCCUCUCUCGCACGCCUCUCUCACCUGGAAAUCCGGCUUAUAGUAACGUGGUGGCAUCUCACUGUCACGGCGUGACGUUCCCGGGACAAUGAACAGACCACGCUGCGAAAGAGAGAGAAAGAGACCGUGUCGUGAGUCGGAGGGCGACGCUGGGAACGCGUCGAUGGGGGGAAAGCCGAGAAAGAGGAACGGCGGCGGGAGGGAGACGCGUUCGGAAUACCGUCGAAGGCUCUCCGUCGUUGCCCAUCCCGGGAUUACGUACCUUGGUCGUAGACCUUACCCGCGAGACGAGCUCGCGUACUCGCGGCUAGUUGCAUAACGCUCGAGGAUUCUCGGUGCGCCGCUCAUUGCCGCGUCGAUUCUCAAUAAUGCGUCGCCGGGUCUCCUUCGGAGAGCUCAUCCCACUUACUUAGUCGCGCGGCGCGCGAAAGGUUACACCGGCUGUGUUAGAUUUACAGUGACGAUACGCGCACCUGUGGUACGGCCGGUCACAAUAACAUCGAUUUAUCUCACGAGAGAAGCUGCGGCAGAUCUCCAGGUGUGUGUGUGUGUGUGUGUGCGUUUAACAAUCACUAAACGCCACACUGUCCGUUGACAUGUUUUGCCGAGCAAAAAACGCGGAUAAGUAUAAUCGACGAUGAAAGUCUAUGUAGCGAGACGGUAGUUUGGAAGUCUUUUCCGGAAAACUGUGACUUUAGAAGAUCUCGGAGAAAAAAUUAAUGUUCCGUGUACAAUCACACUGAGAUGUUGCCCGAUAAGGAAGUAUCCGAUGAGAUAUAAUAUUUUGAUCGGUUUAUUUGAUGAAAUGUCAUGAUUGAAAGUGUCCAAUUUAAUUGGAUAUAAAAAUUGAUCGGAAUUUGAUCGAAAAUAUCCGUUUGUCAAUUUUUUACCGAAUAAUUUCUCUUAGUGCAUAAUUUUUGGACAUGUAGUACAAUCUGGGUUUGUUAGACUCGGGAUACUUCUGAACUACCAUAUAUAAUAUAACUCUGUUGAAAAUCAUAAUUUUUUAUUAAAUUUUUUUCAGAGAAAACAAUAUGGUUGGCCUACACAUAAAUUGUAGUUGUACCAACUAAGCUCAAUAGAAUACCGAGCAACUAGUUACAUGGUUGCUACAAGCGCAGACAAAUUGCUGAGUUACAGUGACGAUAUCUGGUUGCUCCAGCGAGAAUGUAUUCAUGAAAUGUAGAAGAGCUUCAACUAUAAGAUAAGGGAAACGUUCAGUGGUCGGCAUUCAACUUAUUUUCGGCACUUUUGCGCGAAUAUUAUUGAGUAUUAAGAUGGAUUUAAAGGAAAACGAAGUGUGAAGAAUAAAUAUAAUAAUUGAUAAA